GGUCCAGUGGCGCAAUGGAUAACGCGUCUGCCUACGGAGCAGAAGAUUGCAGGUUCGAUCCCUGCCUGGAUCG
rnacentral:tRNA from 1 species